GACGAACGCUGGCGGCGUGCUUAACACAUGCAAGUCGAACGAUGAAGGAGGAGCUUGCUCCUCUGGAUUAGUGGCGAACGGGUGAGUAACACGUGAGCAAUCUGCCCUUGACUCUGGGAUAAGCGCUGGAAACGGCGUCUAAUACCGGAUACGACCCUCGGAGGCAUCUCCUGUGGGUGGAAAGAACUUCGGUCAAGGAUGGGCUCGCGGCCUAUCAGCUUGUUGGUGAGGUAAUGGCUCACCAAGGCGACGACGGGUAGCCGGCCUGAGAGGGUGACCGGCGAAACUGGUACGGAGACACGGCCCAGACGCCUACGGGAGGAAGCAGUGGGGAAUAUUGCACAAUGGGCGCAAGCCUGAUGCAACAACGCCGCGUGAGGGACGACGGCCUUCGGGUUGUAAACCUCUUUUAGCAGGGAAGAUGCGAGAGUGACGGUACCUGCAGAAAAAGCACUGGCUAACUACGUGCCAGCAGCCGCCGUAAGAC
rnacentral:rRNA from 1 species